UAGUUGGUAGGGUAAAAGCCUACCAAGGCAAAGAUCGAUAGCCGGCCUGAGAGGGCACACGGCCACACUGGCACUGAAACACGGGCCAGACUCCUACGGGAGGCAGCAGUGGGGAAUCUUGCACAAUGGGGGAAACCCUGAUGCAGCGACGCCGCGUGAGCGAUGAAGCCCUUCGGGGUGUAAAGCUCUUUCGGCAGGGAAGAUUAUGACGGUACCUGCAGAAGCAGCUGCGGCUAACUACGUGCCAGCAGCCGCGGUAAUACGUAGGCAGCGAGCGUUGUUCGGAGUUACUGGGCGUAAAGGGUGUGUAGGCGGUUGUUUAAGUUUGGUGUGAAAUCUCCCGGCUUAACUGGGAGGGUGCGGUGGAAACUGGGGUGCUUGAGUGUGGGAGAGGAAAGUGGAAUUCCUGGUGUAGCGGUGAAAUGCGUAGAUAUCAGGAGGAACACCGGUGGUGUAGACGGCUUUCUGGACCGUAACUGACGCUGAGACACGAAAGCGUGGGUAGCAAACAGGAUUAGAUACCCUGGUAGUCCACGCCCUAAACGAUGCAUAUUUGGUGUGGGCAGUUCAUUCUGUCCGUGCCGGAGCUAACGCGUUAAAUAUGCCGCCUGGGGAGUACAGUCGCAAGGCUGAAACUCAAAGGAAUUGACG
rnacentral:rRNA from 1 species